AACCCAUGUUGUUGACAUUCUUCCAAGUAACCUUUGUAUUGCUCUUAUGCUUCAUAUAUUGAUUCGACAUCUUGUUGGAAGUUGGUGAUCUUCUUCCUCAACCU
rfam:Glycine soja cultivar W05 scaffold1263_4, whole genome shotgun sequence.